rnacentral:rRNA from 1 species
AACGCGAAGAACCUUACCAAGGCUUGACAUGUCGGAAGUAGCGACUCGAAAGGGAAGCCACCUGUUGAGUCAGGAACCGUCACAGGUGCUGCAUGGCUGUCGUCAGCUCGUGCUGUGAAGUGUUAGGUUAAGUCCUGUAACGAGCGCAACCCUCGUUGCCAGUUGUUUUCUCUGGCGAGACUGCCCUGCAAAAUGGGGAGGAAGGUGGGGAUGACGUCAAGUCAGCACGGCCCUUAUGCCUUGGGCUACACACACGCUACAAUGGGUGGUACAAUGGGUAGCAAUAGAGCAAUCUGGAGCCAAUCCUAAAAGCCAUCCUCAGUUCAGAUUGCAGGCUGAAACUCGCCUGCAUGAAGUUGGAGUUGCUAGUAACCGCAGGUCAGCAUACUGUGGUGAAUACGUUCUCGGGCCUUGUACACACCGCCCGUCACGUCAUGAAAGUCGGCAACACCUCAAGUCGAUGGGCUAACCCCGGUUCUCCGGGGAGGCAGUCGCCGAGGGUGGGGUUGAUGAUUGGGACGAAGUCGUAACAAGGUAACCUUAAUUAAAA